rnacentral:lncRNA from 1 species
UGGGGAUCCUACCACUUCAAAGGGAAAAGCUCAUUCAGAAGGAGGGGAAAACAGGCAGAAAUAAGAUUAACUUCACCCUAGGAAGGGAACUCACACCCUGCAGAGGAGGAUCUGGACAUGAUGGACCUUGGGAGUCCCUUCCAACUCAGGAUAUUCUGAUUGCUGAACUGCUACUUACAGCUUUUCGCAACCUUCCUGCUUGUUCUUCUUCACUGCCCCUGUUUGAAAGUGUCUUGAAGAUGAAAUUAUGUCCUGAAGGAAUUCUGACACCAUUUUUGCGUUUUUGUCUCUCUGGGGAUUCUUAA